rnacentral:lncRNA from 1 species
AAGUCCUGUAAAUAUUAAGUUACUGCAAGAUUUGUGAAAAUAUGCUGCUGACCGGAGAGGAAAAAUUGCAGAAGAGAACCACCCCCAAGAGAGAGGCUGCAAUGUGAAACCAGUCACCGAAGAAACUAUGGGAUGGAGGUGCAGGAAACAAAAGUUUACAGUAACAACAUUGGGAAGGAAGAGCAUUAUAUGACCAGGUUUGCUGUUGACACCCUGUUCUUCACGCUGGUAAAUUCACAAAGGCUGGAGAAAGCUCUAACAAAGCUGAGAAGUAUGUUACAACAGCACCUCACCAAGAACAAUGUGUUUUGUUCAACACUGAAGUUAUG